AUCCUUUUACAGUUCAUUAGCAUCAUGAUUGGGUGUUCACGUUUGUAUGACAUGUGCUUCCCUUAAAUCAUGUUACAUACUUGGCACAUUACCCAUCUGACA